rnacentral:rRNA from 1 species
UACGAACGCUGGCGGCGUGCCUAAUACAUGCAAGUAGAACGCACAGUUUAUACCGUAGCUUGCUACACCAUAGACUGUGAGUUGCGAACGGGUGAGUAACGCGUAGGUAACCUGCCUGGUAGCGGGGGAUAACUAUUGGAAACGAUAGCUAAUACCGCAUAAUAUUAAUUAUUGCAUGAUAAUUGAUUGAAAGAUGCAACUGCAUCACUACCAGAUGGACCUGCGUUGUAUUAGCUAGUAGGUGAGGUAACGGCUCACCUAGGCGACGAUACAUAGCCGACCUGAGAGGGUGAUCGGCCACACUGGGACUGAGACACGGCCCAGACUCCUACGGGAGGCAGCAGUAGGGAAUCUUCGGCAAUGGACGAAAGUCUGACCGAGCAACGCCGCGUGAGUGAAGAAGGUUUUCGGAUCGUAAAGCUCUGUUGUAAGAGAAGAACGGGUGUGAGAGUGGAAAGUUCACACUGUGACGGUAUCUUACCAGAAAGGGACGGCUAACUACGUG